rnacentral:rRNA from 1 species
GACGAACGCUGGCGGCGUGCUUAACACAUGCAAGUCGAGCGGUAAGGCCCUUCGGGGUACACGAGCGGCGAACGGGUGAGUAACACGUGGGUGACCUGCCCUCAGCUCUGGGAUAAGCCUGGGAAACCGGGUCUAAUACUGGAUAUGACUCCAUGACGCAUGUUGUGGGGUGAAAGCCUUGUGCGGCUGAGGAUGGGCCCGCGGCCUGUCAGCUUGUUGGUGGGGUGAUGGCCUACCAAGGCGACGACGGGUAGCCGGCCUGAGAGGCGACCGGCCACACUGGGACUGAGACACGGCCCAGACUCCUACGGGAGGCAGCAGUGGGGAAUCUUGCGCAAUGGGCGAAAGCCUGACGCAGCGACGCCG